rnacentral:rRNA from 1 species
UACGUAGGGUGCGAGCGUUGUCCGGAAUUACUGGGCGUAAAGAGCUCGUAGGUGGUUUGUCGCGUUGUCCGUGAAAACUCACAACUCAACUGUGGGCGUGCGGGCGAUACGGGCAGACUGGAGUACUGCAGGGGAGACUGGAAUUCCUGGUGUAGCGGUGGAAUGCGCAGAUAUCAGGAGGAACACCGGUGGCGAAGGCGGGUCUCUGGGCAGUAACUGACGCUGAGGAGCGAAAGCGUGGGGAGCAAACAGG